AUACUUAGUAUAUGGUAUUUGUCAUUUUCUUUAAGUCCUCAAUUUUGAAAAUUACACAAAUUAAAAUAAUUUCAUAAUUAAUAAUAUCAAAUGCCUCAUUCAAUAAACUUCACACUAAUUUUUAAAAAUAACAUUUAUUUAAAUUUUUGAGAGAGAAGAAGUACGUUUAUAAUUAUAUAUUUGAAGAUAUCAAGAUACUUCUUACUAGUUACUACUUACUAGUAACAUUAUUCCUAUAAUUUAAUUAUUUCAAGCAAUGGAUAUAUAUCUUACUACUUAAGUG
rnacentral:lncRNA from 1 species